UGAUCGAAGCAUUGACGUGCAGCAACCGAGCGCACACUACGGUAGCUGGGUAAUCCCUCACGCCUCCUCGCGUGUCUUUGUUUUUUUGUUACAUGUGUUUCGACGCUUCUUCCACAGCCGUUCCUCCCCUCCUCACAGACCCACCACACACGCUCCACUUCUUUUUCCCACCGUUGUGCUUUCCUGUCUAGCUUUUCCUCACUGAACCAGGAGAAGUCGAAGACAAACAAAGAAGGAAGAGGUAAAGCGAGAGAGGAGGGAAGGCACAGUCACAACGCACUUCUCCUCCUCCGUACCUCCGUCAUCUCUCUCUGUCCGUGUAUCUGUGUGUGUGUGCGGCCUUUUCUCUCGUGCGAUCUCUUUUCAACACACGCACACACAAGCACAAAAGCCUUUCUUUCGCUGCACGGGCGUGGCUAACCGAACAAAAUCAGCGACGGAGACGGCAUACACGCACGUACAAGUUCAGCUGACAAUACGCAAAGAGGGAGCUGCAUUCGCGAACAACGUGCCGUGCAACUUGAGGGUUUGUGUCGGCGUGUGUACAUCAGUGUUUAGGUAGGGAAACGUAGGCAAAGGUAUCGCCGAGUAUACGAGAACGAGGACGAAAAAAGGGGCGCAGCAUAAAAGCAAAGACCCAAUCUCAAGCCCCUCCCCCGUAAAGUAGUUGUCGCUUCGUCGUGACAUAUUUGGUUCCUCUUUCUUUUGUUUUGAAUACGUGAGCACGUGUGUGUGCGUGUGCGUGUGCCUGUCUGUGGUGAUUUCUUUCCCGUUUUCUCUGCCCGUUUUUCCCUUUGUGGCUUCUCUGUUCCGGUCUCAUUUCACCUCGUUUUUGUGUUUCGCUGUCGUUUUUCUCCGAUCUUUGUUGCGUUGGUGCUCCUUCAUCAUCUCCGUCUCGCUCGCUCUUUAUUAUUAUUUUAGCUGAGCGCCACACCCCCUGCUGACAUUGGCACCCUCGGUGAUUUCCGUCAUCCUUGCCGCUCUCUCUUUCUCCUCCCCGCAUUUUUUUAUUCGCUUGCCUGUUGUGCCCCCCCCCCCCCCCCCGCCCCCAUUACCCUCUCCUUUUACCUUUUUGUCUCCCCCCCUCAUCUCGCCGUUUUUCUCUGCGCCUCUCGUUACCCUCCACCUCCGCUGUGUGUCUGCGCUUUUGGAAGCAGGCAACUUGGCCAGCGUAAUGCUUUCCGAUAACGACCUGACCUUUCACAUCCCCUCUGCGGGACUAAGGAAAAUGGACGCGUGGACUGCGACGAACCCUAGCGCCUUUUCCCACCUGCACCUUGUCGGCAACCCGGACUGGAUGUCCUCUUUUUCUGCAAGCUCGCAGGUGGCCGCAGCACGCCCCGCUCUUGCACCACCGGCGCCGGUGGCCAUCGAGCCUUCCACCCCUCGGCUUCUCGCGGCACCAGCAGCCAUUGACGCGCCUGCGCCAGCAGCCAAAAAGAGCUUCCUCAGCAUGUUUUACCGCGGCUCUUCGAACACGGUUUCGUCGACGGCGAUGCCACCAAAGGCGAGCAGCGCAGCCUCCACGCUGAUGUCUGCGCCGCCCAAGGCAUUGGAUGCCUUCGACACCCCAAUGCAGCGCGCCCUCCCUGUGGAUGCGCAGCUGUCCGUGGAGCACCUUUCCAAGCUGGAUGCGGUGGAUGCUACAAUCUCGGCGGCCCCCCGCCGUGAACCGCCGCGUCCUAUGGCACUCGGCAGCGACACAUGGAACGCGCUGAGCAGCGUGCCUCUGCCGGCGAAGACAACAGCGGGAUCGGCGCGGCUGCUGGCCCCACCGGCCUCCAUCGACGCCGUCUUCAGCCGCGACUCGAAGCCACUCUGGAGCGACCUCUCCUUUACCUCUUGCUUCCGCAGCACUGCGCCAACGCUGGAGGCAUUCCGAAGCGCGCCACCUGCGCCGAUUCUGUCGACCCCACCACGCAGCCCGCAGCACCAGGCCACCUCCUCGACAGCGACGGUGGCCACAGCAUUCAUCCCAGUGCCGCCCAAGCCGGUCACGGCAAGCCCACUACGCGACGCUGCGGUGAGCAGUGCCGAGGCCGCGGCACCCGCAGCGAUCCCGGCUGCGCGCCGCGAGCUGAGGGCAAUGGCACAUCCGCUGGUGCCAGUUGGCGAGGACGCGCCUGCAGUAGUCACGCCGCUGCUGAAGCCGGUGGAGGAGACACCCAUGGUGUCGAGCAAGUCUGCAAACCUCGCGCCGAGCACCGUGAAUGCCACGCCCCCAGUCUGGGGACCGGAGCCUCUCAGUCUCGCCGGCAGCGAGCCGGAGCGUUCGGCGUCGCCGUUGCCGACUGAGUUUGCCAAGUCCAUCUCGAGGCCGACCAUGCAACAGGCACAGCGGGACGAGGCGCGCGCAGCGGCCAACGUGCGCAACUUCAUCAGCACCCUGUUCAGCGGUGGCGGCAGUGAUGAGACAGACUCGCCCACAGCAGGGAACAGGAAGGCGGACGGGUUCAACGCACUGGAGUUUGUGACGAAUCGCCGCGGCGCCCAGGCGAAGGCGUCUCAGCCGGUGGACUAUAGCACCUUCUUCAACACCUCUCUCUUCGAAGACGACCACGACGAGGACAGCGAGGAAGGCCUCGAGAAGUUGCGCCGCGUUGUUCUCAUGGUGAUGCAGUCGGCAAAGAACAGCGAAGGCAAUAGCGUCCCUCAGCCGACUGGCCAAAGUUGUCGCCGUGGCGGUGGUGUUGACGGUACCGGGGUGGCGCCGCUGACAACGUUUCCUAGCAAGUACACGGAGUUUUCCGCGUCGUACCAGACCGCGAAUAACAACAACGCAGACGACAACGAAUGGAUGCAGUUCGCGCGCUGAUGUGCGUAUAAAGAGGAGUACUGCGUCUGGCGUAGCAGAGGUUCAGAAGAGCACGCCAGCCCCCCCCCCCCCCCUGCGAAAAAAAAAACGGGCGUAUCAUCGACGAGAGAGGCGGUGACCAGGGUUCCUCCGUACUCUGGCACAUGCCCUUGGGCUGACGCGCGCCGCUGCUUAUCCUUCCCGACUUUUCAGUGUGGUUUUCCCGUGGCUGCACCGCACGCACACGGACCUCCGCUUCGGUGUGUUGGUUCGCCACUGUUCGUGGUCUCCCUCUUUUUUAAUGUGGCUUUGCUGCUUUUAAACCGAUCGUUUUCUUUUCACGCGUGCUCCUGCGUGCACGUAUUCUGCGGCUUUACAUAUCACCCUUGCAGGUAGCGUAUAAGAAAAGCAGGCUGCGGAGUCUCAUUCCCUGCUCUUCCAAGUAUGUGUCUGUUUGUCUGUCUACGUGUGUGCUGGCGCCUGCCAUGGCUCACCCUCCUUUGCCUCCCCCGUCGGUGCCUCUUGUUGUCCUUUCCUUUACUCUUUUUGUUUUGGUUCUUCCGCUGAUGUGCGGGUCUCGCGCUCUCUCUCUGUCUGUCAUCAACGCCUUAGAUGUUCCGUGUAUUUCUAUUUUUUUUUUGCGUCUAUUUCGUUUUGUUGCUGCGGGUGCUCUGCUUUGAUAUUUUAGAGGAUGGGCGUACACCAAGACACAGACUUGCAUCCGUCUACAUUGAGCCAGCGACGAGGGGCUGGUGUGUGCUGUUUUGCUUCCUUUUUCUUCUUCCUUGAUGCUCAUCCGCUUUCAUUGACGCGGUGUGGCAAAGGGAUGGGAUGAGUGAGCGACUCCAUCGAUACUCAGCAAGAGCGCAAGUGGCGCAGCGCGACGAAUGCCAUGCCGCUAGUGUCACCCAAGCACACGAACCCCUUUUUCUUCUUUUCUCGUUGCCCUCCUCCUCUCGUGUGUGUCUCUCUCUGCCCUCCUCCUCCUCCUCUUGAGUAUGUGUGCGUCUUGUGCUUUCCGUUUUCAUAUCCAGACAGCAAACAGACAAAGCAGAAACAAAAGCAAGCAGCCAAGACGGUGCGAAAAAGAACCAAAAUGAGCAGCACGCACAUCCGUGAAGCAAACAAAAGGAAGAUACACAGUUUCACUACAGGUUCGGAUAUUUCUGCCAUCUGACCACGUGCCGGCGAACGUGUCGCUGUAGUGUUGUGUGCCUCUAGUGGAAUGGAAUGGGGAUAGAGCAGCUUUUAGGUUGACGUGUACGGCACCUACUUCUCGGCCGCCUGCUCCACUCACAUCCAAGAAACGAUACCCAUAUACACAUACCCGCGAGCACGUCUGACCCACUUACGCGGAACUGAGCAAGAGGAGCAUGUUAGCGGUAGCAGUAGUAGUUACAGACUACUUUUUAUUUUUGCGUCUUAUUGGGAGAAUAGUUCAUUGUAUGUUUCCACGUGCUUUGCUGCGCGCGAGCGUGUGGGGGCACGCCUCCACGUGUACGUGUACGCGCUUAUCGACAGUGUACUUCUCUUUUGCGUGCCCUGGUUGUGGUAUUUUUUUUUUCUUGCUUCGGUUGCUCCGCUGGCUGCUCUUCUCCCGUCCUCUCGUUGUUGCCUUUUCUGUUGCUGGUUGUUUCGUGUCGUCGGUAACAUCGGGCUCAUCGUCUCUCGAAUUUUUUUUUCGUUCUGUCCUUUGCUUCUUUUCCUUUUGUGACGUUGUUUAGUUUUUUUUUUUGUGCGUGGUUGUUGUUUUUGCCUUUUCGUGUUCUGCUCACGCGCUUUGGUGGCGUGAUGUUGCUGGUGUGUUUUGUGUGUUGUAUGUGUGGGUGUGCGGGGCCUCCUUUUUAUGUUCUUCAUCCUUCCUCCUUUGGCGCGCUUUUCUUUGUUUGUUUCAGUUUUCGCUGCCGUUGAUCGCACAAAACUACUCUCCUUUAGUUGAUGGCAGCUCGCGUGCGCGUUUUGUUGUUUUGUUUGUGAAGUGUUUUUGCUUGGUUUGUUGCGUGAGCACGCACUGUUGAUGUGGGCGAUAUAUCCACGCGCUAUCAACGCCCUCCCUCGUCCUCCCCCGCCCACAACUCUCUUUUUUCUCUGUGACGAAGAAGGGAACAUUAUCUCCAGAUUUCGCUCACCCCUUUUUUUUUCGUUAUUGACAUAACCGACAUGUGUGCGGGCACCAGCUUCACCGCAAGCUCCUUUUCAGAUGAAAACAACCCGCACCAAAAAGAACAAAAAAAAGAACGAAAGAGGCGCUAGCUCCACACCAGCAGCGACUGAAGCGUAAAAGGCGUCAACCAGCUCUUUCCACCCCUGUGUCUGCGCGGUUUGUUCCGUGUGCUCGGUGGACACACCCACAUCUACGCACACGGACACCCACCAUGACUUCCAAGUUGUCGGGCCACUACUUGUGCAGCACGC
rnacentral:misc_RNA from 1 species